ensembl:lncRNA
GACUGUGAUAGAGCAGUAGCUCCCUUCACUAAGUUAUAUGACACAACAAAGGUGGUGGUCACUCACAUGAUUACCUUAUGUCCAUAUAUUACUGUCACAGCAGACUGGAGGGAGAUGCUUCUGUUGGCUUUGAAGUGAGCUGCCAGACUGGGAUAUGGCCAUAUGAGGUAGAACCAGGACAUAGUGACAUGUGGUGUUUUGUCCAUGAAGAUGGAAAGAUCCUAGACUCUAGAUACUGAAACCACAAAGAGAUCUCUCGCCCACGGUUUUCGUCUUUUCUCUCUCAGUCUCCUGAAGACCCUAGUGCUUCCUCAUGUGACCUCAUGGCACAUGGUGUGCCUCUUCCUCUUGGAAUCUACAGCCAGCUUUCCAAUGAAAUUCACAUCCUAGAUAAGACCCUUGCUGCACGGGCAAGAUAGCUGACAUCAAGGCUCACGGACGAUCUCCAGCCAAAAAUGAAGCAUUAAUCCCACAUUUUGGGCAGACAUCUUGCCUGCUCCUAAGAAACUCAACUGCCAGCCAAUAUUAUUGGAGAGCUUUUAAAAUGUGUCUCUACAGGCACAGGCUACAGGGUGCAAAAUGGAUUGUGGAAAAUCUAGGAAUAUCAGGACUGUCUUCCUCUCAAAAUUUGCAAGUACAUGUCAUUUAAGCAAAGAUGAGCAAGGACCCUUUUCUCAGCUCCCUACCAACGUUAUGCUUAAAUCAUGGUGAACAUUUGUCUGCCACUACCUCAAAGUAAUAUCUUCAACAACAACAAACCACAGUGUGUGUGUUCAGCCUAAUGUAGCUACUCAGCUUCAUAUAGCUUUGUGUCCAAAGCAUCCUUCCUGUACACCUUCCUCCCCUUCUUCAUUGGUUUCGCAUAUUUGGAUUUUCAAAUGAAAGGGAAAAUUUCUACACAAUCAAAAGUGAAGCUCAAGUCUUACAGAAAUAACCUAAGACCACCCAAAUAAUCACAUGCAGAGGCCGUUAAUUUAGAACUCGCUGAAGCAAUCAGCUGCCACUAUUUGUGUUUGACAAUGACUGAAAGCAGUGCCCAGGAGAAAAAAAAUUAAAUACCAUA